rnacentral:rRNA from 1 species
AGUGAACGCUGGCGGCAGGCCUAAUACAUGCAAGUCGAACGGCAGCACAGCAGAGCUUGCUCUGUGGGUGCGAGUGGCGGACGGGUGAGGAAUACAUGGGAAUCUGCCCAGUCGUGGGGGAUAACGUAUGGAAACGUACGCUAAUACCGCAUGCGCCCUACGGGGGAAAGUCGGGGACCGCAAGGCCUGACGCGAUUGGAUGAGCCCAUGUUCGAUUAGCUAGUUGGCGGGGUAAAGGCCCACCAAGGCGACGAUCGAUAGCUGGUCUGAGAGGAUGAUCAGCCACACUGGAACUGAGACACGGUCCAGACUCCUACGGGAGGCAGCAGUAGGGAAUAUUGGACAAUGGGGGCAACCCUGAUCCAGCCAUGCCGCGUGAGUGAAGAAGGCCCUCGGGUUGUAAAGCUCUUUUGUCCGGAAAGAAAAGCAUUCGGUUAAUACCCGGGUGUUCUGACGGUACCGGAAGAAUAAGCACCGGCUAACUUCGUGCCAGC